GGUGAACGCUGGCGGCGGGCCUAAUACAUGCAAGUCGAGCGAACAGAUAAUGAGCUUGCUCCUUUGACGUUGGCGGCGGACGGGUGAGUAACGCAUGGGUAACCUACCUCUAAUACUGGGAUAACUUCGGGAAACCGGAGCUGCUAACGGCGCACAUUUCGAACCGCAUAAUUCUAAAGUUAAACGUGGCUUUGCUGUCACUUAUAGAUGGAGCCGCGUCGUAUUAGCUAGUUGGUAAGGUAACGGCUUACCAAGGCGACGAUCCGUAGCUGACCUGAGAGGGUGAUCGGCCACACUGGGACUGAGACACGGUCCAGACUCCUACGGGAGGCAGCAGUAGGGAAUCUUGCGCAAAGGGCGCAAGCCUGACCGAGCCACGCCGCGUGAGUGAUGAAGGGUUUCGGCUCGUAAAACUCUGUUAUUAGGGAAGAACAAAUGUGUAAGAAUCUGUGCACGUCUUGACGGUACCCAAUCAGAAAGCAACGGCUAACUACGUG
rnacentral:rRNA from 1 species